rfam:Rattus norvegicus chromosome 20, whole genome shotgun sequence.
GGAUUUAGCUCAGUGGUAGAGCGCUUGCCUAGCAAGCACAAGGCCCUGGGUUCGGUCCCCAGCUCCA